rnacentral:rRNA from 1 species
UCGAGCGGACAGAUGGGAGCUUGCUCCCUGAUGUUAGCGGCGGACGGGUGAGUAACACGUGGGUAACCUGCCUGUAAGACUGGGAUAACUCCGGGAAACCGGGGCUAAUACCGGAUGGUUGUUUGAACCGCAUGGUUCAAACAUAAAAGGUGGCUUCGGCUACCACUUACAGAUGGACCCGCGGCGCAUUAGCUAGUUGGUGAGGUAACGGCUCACCAAGGCAACGAUGCGUAGCCGACCUGAGAGGGUGAUCGGCCACACUGGGACUGAGACACGGCCCAGACUCCUACGGGAGGCAGCAGUAGGGAAUCUUCCGCAAUGGACGAAAGUCUGACGGAGCAACGCCGCGUGAGUGAUGAAGGUUUUCGGAUCGUAAAGCUCUGUUGUUAGGGAAGAACAAGUACCGUUCGAAUAGGGCGGUACCUUGACGGUACCUAACCAGAAAGCCACGGCUAACUACGUGCCAGCAGCCGCGGUAAUACGUAGGUGGCAAGCGUUGUCCGGAAUUAUUGGGCGUAAAGGGCUCGCAGGCGGUUUCUUAAGUCUGAUGUGAAAGCCCCCGGCUCAACCGGGGAGGGUCAUUGGAAACUGGGGAACUUGAGUGCAGAAGAGGAGAGUGGAAUUCCACGUGUAGCGGUGAAAUGCGUAGAGAUGUGGAGGAACACCAGUGGCGAAGGCGACUCUCUGGUCUGUAACUGACGCUGAGGAGCGAAAGCGUGGGGAGCGAACAGGAUUAGAUACCCUGGUAGUCCACGCCGUAAACGAUGAGUGCUAAGUGUUAGGGGGUUUCCGCCCCUUAGUGCUGCAGCUAACGC